rnacentral:rRNA from 1 species
AACGAACGCCGGCGGCAUGCCCAACAUAUGCAAGUCGAACGAGACCUUCGGGUCUAGUGGCGCACGGGUGCGUAACGCGUGGGAACCUGCCCUCAGGUUCGGAAUAACUCCCCGAAAGGGGUGCUAAUACCGGAUAAUGUCUUCGGACCAAAGCUUUAUUGCCUUUGGAUGGGCCCGCGUUGGAUUAGCUAGUUGGUAGGGUAAAAGCCUACCAAGGCGACGAUCCAUAGCUGGUCUGAGAGGAUGAUCAGCCACACUGGAACUGAGACACGGCCCAGACUCCUACGGGAGGCAGCAGUGGGGAAGAUUGGACGAUGGGCGAAAGCCUGAUCCAGCAAUGCCGCGUGAGUGAUGAAGGCAGUAGGGUUGUAAAGCUCUUUUACCCGGGAUGAUAAUGACAGUACCGGGAGAAUAAGCUCCGGCUGACUCCGU